AAUCAACGCUGGCGGCGUGCCUCAGACAUGCAAGUCGAACGAUUAAACUUCCCUUCGGGGAAGAUAUAAAGUGGCGCACGGGUGAGUAACACGUAGGUAAUGUACCUUUGGGUGGGGAAUAACUUAGGGAAACUUAAGCUAAUACCGCAUAAUGCAGCGGCUCCUUCGGGAGACAGUUGUUAAAGAUUUAUCGCCUAAAGAGCAGCCUGCGGCAGAUUAGCUAGUUGGUAAGGUAACGGCUUACCAAGGCUACGAUCUGUAUACGACCUGAGAGGGUGGUCGGACACACUGACACUGAAUAACGGGUCAGACUCCUACGGGAGGCAGCAGUCGGGAAUUUUGGGCAAUGGGCGAAAGCCUGACCCAGCAACGCCGCGUGAAGGAUGAAGUCUUUCGGGAUGUAAACUUCGUAAGAAUAGGAAGAAUAAAUGACGGUACUAUUUGUAAGGUCCGGCUAACUACGUG
rnacentral:rRNA from 1 species